AAGAACCCCCAAACUUUAGUUACAGACCCAACUGAGAUAAACGAUACUUUUGCUUCAUAUUACUUUGAUUUAUACAAUCAGAAGCCUCAUCAGACACUACUCCAAUGAACCAAUUCCUAGAUAAUUUAAUUCUCCCCUCUGUGGACACUAAUUCCAAAAACAUUCUAGAUGCCCCUCUCAAUCUGUAAGAGGUGAAAGCCAGCCUUAAAUUAAUGCAGAUGUAGCGUGGAAGGAAGAAAAUUCAUUCCACCAAAUAUCCUUCAUUUUAUAUUUUCAUUAAUUUAUUGUCUUUCAGUUUUAUGUUGGAAUUAAUAUUUUAAAGAAAAAUACUCUGUAUAAUAAUUUUCGGAAAGUUUUAUUUUAUUUUUGUGGGUAUAACUGGUGACGUCACUUCCUCCUUCACCAGACCAUUCAUGGCUGUUGCGGAGGAAGGUGGACUGAUGUCGGCUGGAUAUAUUAUUUGCUGCUGAACAGUUUUUCAUAUCAUUCUGUACAGAAUAAAUACACCAUCAGUAGGCUGACCUGAAAUGCCUGAGCGGUCGUCACUAGACAACGCAGAGUCAAACAAGUAGCACGCCUGAGGCCGGCUACAUUGGUGCCGUGACGAUCCGGAUUCAUCUUGGAUCAACAACAGCUUGGUCAUCGAGGGCUGCUGAUCAUCACCAAGAGGUUCCUUUAAAUUUGCUGGUUGCAAAGCUACGCUGUUACACAGUUGAAAGGACUUUGAAAGAAAAGGGGUUGUUUCAUUUUUUUCCCCUUGCAUUCUUUUUUAUUGUUGUUGUGUAUCUCAACUAAGUUUGAUAGAUUAAGAACCAUUGUUUCAUUAUAAUAUAGGGUUAAGGUUGUUGUUUUUUUUUAUUAAAAAUGGCUUCCAAGUUUGAAGAAGCAGAUGUAGCUACAACAAAUGAGAAUCCUCUAGGCCUUGGCAGAGGAAGGUUUUUGAGGGAGCUUUGUGAUACCCCUGUCAGAAAUGCAGACAAUGUUGGUUCACCAGCCUUUAGCUCCACUCGGUUACCUAGUCAUCCAACCGCUUUGCCUAAACUCGCUGAUCAGCUGUCAGCAACGUCAGACAUAAGUGAUCUAGCUUUAAAAAAAUUUCAUCACACACAUAGCACAGGAAGUCAGAUAGGUUAUAUCUACUCAGUUAAAGGGAGAAGGUAAGGCAGAUGAGGACAGAGAUGCACGAGCUCAGAGUUCAGGUACAAAUCAGACUCUCAAUAUCCUUACACAUAACCUGGCAGGCAUAAGAUUAGUUAUGCAAGCUAAUGUCAGGGAACCUCCCAGUUUUAGAGGAGAUGUGUCAGAUAAGCUAUCAGUGUAUGAGUGGGAGGAACUUCCACAUACCUGAGGAAGAGAGGUGUACCACAUGGAGAACAGCAUCAGGAGAUUUUAUAUAAGUUAAUAGGAAAAGCUAGGGACAUUGUGAAGGUUACGCUCCGUAGCAAUCCAGCCCUAAAACCCCAAGAGAACCCAAAAUUCAUCAUUGACAUUUUAAAGCAACACUUUGGUGAAACAAGUUCAAGUAUGCCUCUUGCAGACUUUUAUGGCACUGUGCCUCAAAUAGGAGAAAACCCUGUUGAGUACUGGCUAGGCCUCAACAAGGCAAUUGAUGUAACUGAGGAGGCUUUGAGGAGACAAGGGCGACACGUUGAUGAUCCUAGCCGAGAGGUAACGAUGAUGUUCGUCAAGUAUUGUCCAGAUCCCUCUCUUGCUGCAGUAUUACGAUUCAAGCCACCAGACAAGUGGACAGCUAAAGAGAUACAGGAACAUGUAGAUCGCUAUCAAAUUGAGAUGAAGCCUAAACCAAUUCAUGCCAGCUUGAUAAAGUGUCUGUCAUCACAUGUUCAAGCACCUGAGGAGCUCAUUUCAUCCAGCUCUCCGGUUUCUUCUCCUGUUUAGGUUGAGGGGAAUGUCAACCUCAGUCCUCAGUUAGAUGAUAACUGUAUAAAGACUCUCAUCAGUCUGCUUGAUCGUACCCUUGUUCAGAACAACCAGACUGUGCUCAGAAAGCCCUCUUAUGGUCAGCUGCAGAGAAAGUUCUGUAAGGUUUGCCAGUCCACAGAACACUCAACAUUGGCACAUUGCAGACAAGAUCGCCUGUGCUUAUCCUGUUUCAAACCUGGUCACAUUAAGAAGGACUGCCCAAACAAGGAUUCCAGACAAAAUCUUCAAACCGCGUCUUCGCUUGAAGGACAACAGCAUUUAAACUGAUGAACCCGCAUUCGGAGAGGGGACGUGUGGGUAGUGAUUUACAAACCCUCAACUGUGACAGUGAACUCGAACAAUGCUAUGUAAAUGCAUGUGGAGUAGCAUCAGGUAAUGCUAAGGUGAUUAUGCAAAAUACACAGACAGUAGAGCCUUAUGAUGAACUGUUCUAUGCACCAGUUACUGUGAACUCUAAGUUUCAGAUGCAAGGGAUGCUAGAUUCAGGUUCUAUGGCAUGCACCUUCAGUGAAGAAGCAGAGGAAAGGAUGGUUAGAGAGAACAUCUUGUCAGAACCUGACAAGGAUAAAAAAAAGUAUACUGCUUUUACCACACCACUUGGGUUACAUGAGUACAACCGGAUGCCACAGGGGCUCUGCAAUAGUCCGGCUUCCUUCAUGCGCAUGAUGUUAAGUGUAUUUGGUGACUUGAACUUCAGCAGUCUGUUAUGCUAUUUAGAUGACCUGCUUGUUUUUGCACCCAGUGAGGAGGAGGCUUUGCAGAGGUUGGAGGUUGUCUUUCAGCGGCUGCGAGAGCAUAACUUGAAGCUGAGUCCCAAGAAGUGCCACCUCAUGCAAGCUUCUGUGAAGUUUCUGGGCCAUGUCAUUGAUGGAAAUGGUGUGGCUGUGGAUCCAUCAAAAGUUGAGGUGAUAUCCAAAAUGUUGUCGUCCAAUCUGAUGGAAGAUGAUGGAAGUACACCUUCUGUUCGACGGAUUAAAUCUUUUCUGGGGAUGGUAUUCUGUUACCAGCACUUCCUUCCCAAUUGCUCUUCUUUGACUAAACCACUCUUUGCUCUUACUCAGGGUUUCCGCGGGGCAUUAAAAGUCAUUAAAUGAAAUGUUUUAAAAUUAAGGCCUUAAUUAGCAUUAAAAGUCAUUAA